CAAGACCUUCACAGAGCACAUAGAUGCUGCAGAAGGUAGCACUGAAGAUUUAGUAGAUUUACUGAACCAGUGUCACACAUGGUGUUAGGGGACAAUCUAUUGCUGAACAUGCCACUUUUCCAAGAGCUCUGCACAAUAGGUUGACUCUAAACCAACAAAACCCUUCAGGAGCUCUGCCUUGAGACAGAGAAUUCUCAGACUGGGAUGUAGCAAUCGACCAAUAUCCUGCAAGAGGAGCUGAGGAACAACUGGAAGAUCUAUCACUGGACAGAUAGCUAGGUGAAGCAGGAAUCAGUGGAUUUCCUCACAUUCAAUUGAGGGCCCAAGUCCAAAUAUAAGGCAAGCAUCCUCCAUGUGGCAGACAGAACCUCCUUGUAUGACCAACUCUUGAACAGCCAAUUGUCAAGAGCAGCUAUAACAAGUUUCCACGUAGAAUACAAAAGGAAUAUUUAGUUUCCCAACUGCCUGAUUGUGUACUUCCAGGUCCAAAUGAGGCAUUUCACCCAUAUAAGUGAAGACAGAACUGCCCCUUUAAACCACUUUAUUUGUGUUUUGCUUGUGAAGUCAAGGAAAUCUGGAGUACAUACUUUUGGUUUUGUAUCUGUGUCUAUGAUUCCCAAGUGUGAUCAACUGCUUCCCCACAUCAAUUUCUCAUAAUUUGCUGACAGACAGCAGACUAUGGCUAUGCUUGCUAGGGCCAUGCAGAAUUAAGAUCACCAUGCUACCCACACUAUUUGCCAAAACUCUUUUCAAUUACAAAACAAUUCCUCUGACAAAUUCACAACAAACUAUUCAAUGGCAUCAGUUCAUGUCAAAAACAAGAUAUGAAGAGACUUGGAGUGUCUGGGUUGAACUGUUUUGGAGUUAUGAUUAUCCAAAACAAAAGUCAGGAAAACACUCAAGAGCUGAGAUCACCAUACUAUAUGAACCCUCACUUCUCCCAUAUGACCUGUCACAACUGUCUCAAAACUUCUCAUAAAAAUGCAACCUUGCUGCAGGAGCAUGCUCAUGAAGUUUCAGGUGGAUUAUUUUGACCCCCCACACCUAAAACAAAAUUUACAGAGUCCUUUAGGAUAUGAAGCAAGUCAUCCGUGUAAUCUGCAAAAAGCUACCGGCCAUUGAAAAGUAAAUAUUCCACCGUCAAUUGUACCUCCCGCACAGACCCAG